UGUGUGUGUGUGUGUGUGUGUGUGUGUGAGAGAACGUGAGUUAAAGAGGAGGGGGUGUCGAAAUGUAGUCUAGUUCAAAGACUACAAAAAUGGCUACUCCUGUGAGCUGCACAAAACUAUUUUGCCUCAAGAGGGCGGUAGUGGUGCUGGGUGCAGCGCUGUGUGGCUAGAGCA